AUUCAAUUCAGAAAGCAUGAAUCUCCAUGAAAUGAUUAUUUUAUUGUUUUAGAUUUCUGUAGGAUAUAAAGUGAAGACAAAGAACAAAAGUAAACAAACAGAGGAAAAAUGGAGAGGUUUUUGAAAGAAAAUCUCACUUGAAACAUUUUAAUGCAAUCUGAUGAAACAAAAUGAUUUAACACUCAAUCCAAACUUUUUCUUUUAGCACACAAACACAGUAAGAUGUGAAGGAGCAUUUAACAAGGAGCAUC